UUCCGGUUGAUCCUGCCGGACCUGACUGCUAUCGGAUUGAUACUAAGCCAUGCGAGUCAUUGUAGCAAUACAAGGCAGACGGCUCAGUAACGCGUAGUCAAUCUACCCUAUGGACGGGAAUAACCUCGGGAAACUGAGAAUAAUGCCCGAUAGAACAUUAUGCCUGGAAUGGUUUAUGUUUCAAAUGAUUUAUCGCCAUAGGAUGGGACUGCGGCCUAUCAGUUUGUUGGUGAGGUAAUGGCCCACCAAGACUAUUACAGGUACGGGCUCUGAGAGGAGUAGCCCGGAGAUGGGUACUGAGACACGGACCCAGGCCCUAUGGGGCGCAGCAGGCGAGAAAACUUUGCAAUGUGCGAAAGCACGACAAGGUUAAUCCGAGUGGUUUCUGCUAAAGAAACCUUUUGUCAGUCCUAGAAACACUAACGAAUAAGGGGUGGGCAAGUUCUGGUGUCAGCCGCCGCGGUAAAACCAGCACCUCAAGUGGUCAGGAUGAUUAUUGGGCCUAAAGCAUCCGUAGCUCGUUUUGUAAGUUUUCGGUUAAAUCCAUGCGCUUAACGUAUGGGCUGCCGGGAAUACUGCAUAACUAGGAAGUGGGAGAGGUAGACGGUACUCGGGAGGAAGGGGUAAAAUCCUUUGAUCUCUUGAUGACCACCUGUGGCGAAGGCGGUCUACCAGAACACGUUCGACGGUGAGGGAUGAAAGCUGGGGGAGCAAACCGGAUUAGAUACCCGGGUAGUCCCAGCUGUAAACUAUGCAAACUCAGUGAUGCAUUGGCUUAUGGCCAAUGCAGUGCUGC
rnacentral:rRNA from 2 species